GUCAACAUUACACUCUUGUCACGACGGUUGAGUAUGACGGACGCGUCAAGUUCAGUGCUGUGGUUUUUCCUAAAGUGUUCAAUACGAGAUACAGAGAAGACUUAUGAGGCAGUAUUAGCAGUUACGGUUGAUCUGCGCUGUGAGACAUCAGCACUUCUACAAGGACUCUACGUACUCAAGGUAAGUUAAAACUGGA